ACUCCUACGGGAGGCAGCAGUGGGGAAUAUUGCACAAUGGGGGAAACCCUGAUGCAGCCAUGCCGCGUGUGUGAAGAAGGCCUUCGGGUUGUAAAGCACUUUCAGUAGGGAGGAAGGUAGUGUAGUUAACACCUGCAUUAUUUGACGUUACCUACAGAAGAAGCACCGGCUAACUCCGUGCCAGCAGCCGCGGUAAGUACGGAGGGUGCGAGCGUUAAUCGGAAUUACGUGGGCGUAAAGCGCAUGCGAGGCGGCCUGUUAAGUCAGAUGUGAAAGCCCGGGGCUUAACCUCGGAAUUGCAUUUGAAACUGGCAGGCUAGAGUCUUGUAGAGGGGUUAGAAUUUCAGGUGUAGCGGUGAAAUGCGUAGAGAUCGUAGAAGGAAUACCGAGUGGCGAAGGCGGCCCCUAGGACAAAGACUGACGCUCAGAUGCGAAAGCGU
rnacentral:rRNA from 1 species